rnacentral:lncRNA from 1 species
AGGGAUUCACGUCUUUGCAAAUUCUAUUCACUAUCUAAAAAUUUCAUCUUAAUGUUUUGAAGAGACCAUAACGUACUAUCACCAAACAAAACAAAAGGAACCCACUCCACCGAAAUGUCCAAGAAAACCACGAGUACACACACUUCAACAAUAAAAUGCGGUUCGAUCUGCAUCGUCACUAACGCAAUUUAAGCUGAUUACAGUGUGGAUCGAAAUACGAUUCACUGGAGACAUCGUUGAGGAUAGGACUGUUGCCUCAUGGUUGGACUGUGCGGCGAAGAUAGUCACAGCCUUACGGAACUACAACUAGCUCGCGCUGUCUAUGGACAACUUUCCGGAUUCUGGCUAGAAGAGAAUCGUUCCCUAAGUGAGAAAAAGAUGCACAAAUUCACUAGAAUAGACUCGGAGGCGCGAUUACUAUGUUUCAGAACGAGAUGGGAACCAUCUGUUCACUGGAUCCGCCUCCCAUACUCUGUUGACCACCACCACCAACUCCUGGUCACCAGCUCCACCAUCAACUACAAGUAGAUAGUGGGUGCGUUGUCAAAAUGAAAAAGGCGCAAACUAGAAUAUAAAAUAAAAACACACCCACACUCACAUCUCGGCAGGGUUCGCAAUUGCCAAAGAAAUGGACUAAAGCUAAAUCGUUUUAGCUUUAAAAUUACCUCAGCAUCGCUAUCCCCUCUUGCCCCAAAUGAAGCUGAAAACUCGCUCAGCUUCCUUGUUCCUGAUCGUUGCAUGAGUGCAACACUGUGAUGGUGAGCGCACCGAGUACCACACACAAAGAAAACCUUGAAUGCUCCACACUGGCGGCCUAAAAUGACAGAAUUGGGGCUGGUGCAGCUCCAACAUCACCACAUUGGAGGAAACGACGAUGCGAAGGAGUGAAGAAGAUGAAUAUCUGAGUGAUCGUUGUGUGCAGGAUUGGUAUGCGACGGGCUUUACGUGCGCACGACCUUCACACAGAGUGCAAGAGAGAGAGGGAG